CCUUAGAGUUUGAUCCUGGCUCAGAGCGAACGCUGGCGGCAGGCUUAACACAUGCAAGUCGAGCGGGCGUAGCAAUACGUCAGCGGCAGACGGGUGAGUAACGCGUGGGAACGUACCUUUUGGUUCGGAACAACACAGGGAAACUUGUGCUAAUACCGGAUAAGCCCUUACGGGGAAAGAUUUAUCGCCGAAAGAUCGGCCCGCGUCUGAUUAGCUAGUUGGUGAGGUAAUGGCUCACCAAGGCGACGAUCAGUAGCUGGUCUGAGAGGAUGAUCAGCCACAUUGGGACUGAGACACGGCCCAAACUCCUACGGGAGGCAGCAGUGGGGAAUAUUGGACAAUGGGGGCAACCCUGAUCCAGCCAUGCCGCGUGAGUGAUGAAGGCCCUAGGGUUGUAAAGCUCUUUUGUGCGGGAAGAUAAUGACGGUACCGCAAGAAUAAGCCCCGGCUAACUUCGUGCCAGCAGCCGCGGUAAUACGAAGGGGGCUAGCGUUGCUCGGAAUCACUGGGCGUAAAGGGUGCGUAGGCGGGUCUCUAAGUCAGGGGUGAAAUCCUGGAGCUCAACUCCAGAACUGCCUUUGAUACUGAAGAUCUUGAGUUCGGGAGAGGUGAGUGGAACUGCGAGUGUAGAGGUGAAAUUCGUAGAUAUUCGCAAGAACACCAGUGGCGAAGGCGGCUCACUGGCCCGAUACUGACGCUGAGGCACGAAAGCGUGGGGAGCAAACAGGAUUAGAUACCCUGGUAGUCCACGCCGUAAACGA
rnacentral:rRNA from 1 species